rnacentral:rRNA from 1 species
UGGAUUAUGUUGUUUAAUUCGACGCAACGCGAAGAACCUUACCAGGCCUUGACAUACUCGGCAAAGCUCUAGAGAUAGAGUGGAGGUUAUCCGGGAUACAGGUGGUGCAUGGUUGUCGUCAGCUCGUGUCGUGAGAUGUUGGGUUAAGUCCCGCAACGAGCGCAACCCUUGUCUUUAGUUACCAUCAUUCAGUUGGGGACUCUAGAGAGACUGCCGGUGAUAAACCGGAGGAAGGUGGGGAUGACGUCAAAUCAUCAUGCCCCUUAUGGCCUGGGCUACAAACGUAAUACAAUGGCGUAUACAAAGGGAUGCGAAAGGGCGACCUGGAGCAAAAUUCACAAAGUACGUCUCAGUUCAGAUUGGAGUCUGCAACUCGACUCCAUGAGGGCGGAAUCGCUAGUAAUCGCGGAUCAGCAUGCCGCGGUGAAUACGUUCCCGGGCCUU